GAGUUUGAUCAUGGCUCAGAGCGAACGCUGGCGGCACGCCUAACACAUGCAAGUCGAGCGAGAAAGUGACUUCGGUCGCGAGUAAAGCGGCGAACGGGUGAGUACAACGUGGAUAAUCUACCCUAGGGUCCGGGACAACCCCGAGAAAUCGGGGCUAAUACCGGAUAAGACCACAGUAUCCAAGGAUACAGCGGUAAAAGAUUUAUCGCCUUUGGAUGAGUCCACGCCCCAUCAGGUAGUUGGUAAGGUAAAGGCUUACCAAGCCUAAGACGGGUAGCCGGCCCUAGCGGGUGAACGGCCACAUGGGGACUGAGACACGGCCCUGACUCCUACGGGAGGCAGCAGUGGGGAAUAUUGGGCAAUGGGCGAAAGCCUGACCCAGCGAUGCCGCGUGAGGGAUGAAGGCCUUCGGGUUGUAAACCUCUGUCAGGAGGGACGAUGGGACUAUGUCUUGACGGUACCUCCAGAGGAAGCCCCGGCUAACUCCGUGCCAGCAGCCGCAGUAAUACGGAGGGGGCAAGCGUUGCUCGGAAUUACUGGGCGUAAAGGGUCCGCAGGCUGUCAGGCAAGUUGGUUGUGAAAUCCCAAGGCUUAACCUUGGAAUUGCAUCCAAAACUGCCUGACUAGAGUCCAAGAGAGGUUGGCGGAAUUCCCGGUGUAGCGGUGAAAUGCAUAGAUAUCGGGAGGAACACCAGAGGCGAAGGCGGCCAACUGGCUUGGUACUGACGCUCAGGGACGAAAGCGUGGGUAGCAAACCGGAUUAGAUACCCGGGUAGUCCACGCCCUAAACGAUGGAUGCUAGGUAGGGGGAAUUUAUUUCUCCCUGCCGUAGUUAACGCAUUAAGCAUCCCGCCUGGGGAGUACGGUCGCAAGGCUGAAACUCAAAGGAAUUGGCGGGGGCCCGCACAAGCGGUGGAGCACGUGGGUUUAAUUCGAUGCUAGCGAAAAACCUUACCAA
rnacentral:rRNA from 1 species